rnacentral:tRNA from 1 species
GGAGGAGUCGCUUAGUUUGGUCCAUAGCGAAGGUUUGCUAAACCUUUGAGCCGUAAGGCUCACGUGGGUUCGAAUCCCACC